rnacentral:rRNA from 1 species
GGCUAAAUACGACCACGAGACCGAUAGCGAACAAGUACCGUGAGGGAAAGUUGAAAAGCACUUUGAAGAGAGAGUUCAAGAGUACGUGAAACCGUUUAGGGGUAAACCUGAGAAACCCGAAAGGUCGAAGGGAGAAAUUCAUUCGCGUCUCGACGCAGGCGUCGGACGGGGUCAGAGCGACGGAACGGGCGCGCGUUUUUCUUCGGAAUCGCGCGUUCGAUUUUGCGCCCUCCGUCCUUCGAACCGGCUGCGAACGCGUGCACUUUUCUCCUGGUAGGACGUCGCGAUCCGUCGGGCGUCGGUCUACGACUUGCGGCGGAGACCGUCCGUCGUUCUCGCGAACGUACGGCGCGGACCCGCUCGUUCCGGCCGACUCGCUCGACGGUAAGCUCGAGGUCUGGGGUCGCUACGAUAUAUCUAUACCGUAGAGCGUUCGACUCGUCGCAAGCGCGUCACGUGCGUCGGCACGCGGACCCGGUGCCGCGUCCGAUCUCUGGCGACUGUUGGCGACGAAGUUCUCGGACAGACUUCCAUAAAAAAGGGGGGCGGGGAGGAGAAGAAGGGGGGGUUCGCGCUUCCUUCUCGCUCUCUCUCUGUCUCUCGAAGACCGAUCGGCGACG